rnacentral:rRNA from 1 species
UACAGAGGGUGCAAGCGUUAAUCGGAAUUACUGGGCGUAAAGGGCGCGUAGGUGGUUAGUUAAGUGAGAUGUGAAAUCCCCGGGCUUAACCUGGGAACUGCGUCUUAAACUGACUGGCUUGAGUACAAUAGAGGGUAGUGGAAUUUCCGGUGUAGCGGUGAAAUGCGCAGAUAUCAGGAGGAACACCAAUGGCGAAGGCAGCUCGCUGGAGCGGUACUGACGCUGAGGCGCGAAAGCGUGGGGAGCGAACAGG